GCCGACGUAGCUCAGUUGGUUAGAGCACCAGAUUGUGGAUCUGGGGGUCCCCCGUUCGAGCCGGGGCGUCGGUA
rnacentral:tRNA from 2 species